rnacentral:rRNA from 1 species
CCUACGGGUGGCUGCAGUGGGGAAUAUUGGACAAUGGGCGAAAGCCUGAUCCAGCCAUGCCGCGUGUGUGAAGAAGGUCUUCGGGUUGUAAAGCACUUUCAGUGGGGAAGAAAGCCUUGGGGCUAAUACCCUCGAGGAAGGACAUCACCCACAGAAGAAGCACCGGCUAACUCCGUGCCAGCAGCCGCGGUAAUACGGAGGGUGCGAGCGUUAAUCGGAAUUACUGGGCGUAAAGCGCGCGUAGGCGGUCUGAUAAGCCGGUUGUGAAAGCCCCGGGCUCAACCUGGGAACGGCAUCCGGAACUGUCAGGCUAGAGUGCAGGAGAGGAAGGUAGAAUUCCCGGUGUAGCGGUGAAAUGCGUAGAGAUCGGGAGGAAUACCAGUGGCGAAGGCGGCCUUCUGGACUGACACUGACGCUGAGGUGCGAAAGCGUGGGUAGCAAACAGGAUUAGAUACCCCAGUAGUC